rnacentral:rRNA from 1 species
UACGAAGGGGGCUAGCGUUGUUCGGAAUACUGGGCGUAAAGCGCACGCAGGCGGUCUGCUAAGUUUGGAGUGACAGUUGGUGGCUUAACUGCCAAAGUGCUUCGAAAACUGACAGACUUGAGGGCUUCAGAGGGACACGGAAUUCCGGGUGGAGUGGUGAAAUGCGUAGAGAUCCGGAGGAACACCAAAGGCGAAGGCAGUGUCCUGGGGAGUACCUGACGCUCAGGUGCGAAAGCCAGGGGAGCGAACGGG